rnacentral:rRNA from 1 species
AGUGAACGCUGGCGGUAGGCCUAACACAUGCAAGUCGAACGGCAGCACAGUAAGAGCUUGCUCUUACUGGUGGCGAGUUGCGGACGGGUGAGGAAUACAUCGGAAUCUACUUUUUCGUGGGGGAUAACGUAGGUAAACUUACGCUAAUACCGCAUACGACCUACGGGUGAAAGCAGGGGAUCUUCGGACCUUGCGCGAUUGAAUGAGCCGAUGUCGGAUUAGCUAGUUGGCGGGGUAAAGGCCCACCAAGGCGACGAUCCGUAGCUGGUCUGAGAGGAUGAUCAGCCCCACUGGAACAGAGACACGGUCCAGACUCCUACGGGAGGCAGCAGAGGGGAAUAUUGGACACUGGGCGAAAGCCUGAUGCAGCCAUACCGCGUGGGUGAAGAAGGCCUUAGGGUUGUAAAGACAUUUUGUUGGGAAAGAAAAGCAGCAGGCUAAUACCCCGCUGUUCUGACGGUACCCAAAGAAUAAGCAACGGCUAACUUCGUG